GACCCGGGCAGUGCCGUAGCUAACGCGUUAAGUAUCCCGCCUGGGGAGUACGCACGCAAGUGUGAAACUCAAAGGAAUUGACGGGGGCCCGCACAAGCGGUGGAGUAUGUGGUUUAAUUCGAAGCAACGCGAAGAACCUUACCAGGUCUUGACAUCCGAUGCAUAGUACAGAGAUGUAUGAAGUCCUUCGGGACAUCGAGACAGGUGGUGCAUGGUUGUCGUCAGCUCGUGUCGUGAGAUGUUGGGUUAAGUCCCGCAACGAGCGCAACCCUUAUUGCCAGUUACUACGCAAGAGGACUCUGGCGAGACUGCCGUUGACAAAACGGAGGAAGGUGGGGAUGACGUCAAAUCAGCAUCCCCCUUACGUCCUGGGUCGACGCGGCCG
rnacentral:rRNA from 1 species